AUACAUGCAAGUCGAGCGAACUGACGAGGAGCUUGCUCCUUUGACGUUAGCGGCGGACGGGUGAGUAACACGUGGGUAACCUACCUAUAAGACUGGAAUAACUCCGGGAAACCGGGGCUAAUGCCGGAUAACAUGUUGAACCGCAUGGUUCAACAGUGAAAGACGGUCUUGCUGUCACUUAUAGAUGGACCCGCGCCGUAUUAGCUAGUUGGUAAGGUAACGGCUUACCAAGGCGACGAUACGUAGCCGACCUGAGAGGGUGAUCGGCCACACUGGAACUGAGACACGGUCCAGACUCCUACGGGAGGCAGCAGUAGGGAAUCUUCCGCAAUGGGCGAAAGCCUGACGGAGCAACGCCGCGUGAGUGAUGAAGGUCUUCGGAUCGUAAAGCUCUGUUGUUAGGGAAGAACAUAUGUGUAAGUAACUGUGCACAUCUUGACGGUACCUAACCAGAAAGCCACGGCUAACUACGUGCCAGCAGCCGCGGUAAUACGUAGGUGGCAAGCGUUAUCCGGAAUUAUUGGGCGUAAAGCGCGCGUAGGCGGUUUUUUAAGUCUGAUGUGAAAGCCCACGGCUCAACCGUGGAGGGUCAUUGGAAACUGGAAAACUUGAGUGCAGAAGAGGAAAGUGGAAUUCCAUGUGUAGCGGUGAAAUGCGCAGAGAUAUGGAGGAACACCAGUGGCGAAGGCGGCUUUCUGGUCUGUAACUGACGCUGAGGUGCGAAAGCGUGGGGAUCAAACAGGAUUAGAUACCCUGGUAGUCCACGCCGUAAACGAUGAGUGCUAAGUGUUAGGGGGUUUCCGCCCCUUAGUGCUGCAGCUAACGCAUUAAGCACUCCGCCUGGGGAGUACGGUCGCAAGACUGAAACUCAAAGGAAUUGACGGGGACCCGCAC
rnacentral:rRNA from 1 species